rnacentral:lncRNA from 1 species
CCCUCUUGCCUGGAGCAUUAACACAACGUGGCUGCAAAGUUAGUCCUUUCCCGCUACCAUCUCCUGAAUACUGGGACUAACUACACGUAUGCACGAACCUGCCCAUCUUUGCCUCUGUUAACAGCUGCCACUGUCUCUUCACGACAUGAUGGCUGACCUAGGUUGGAAGGAACAGAGCCAGUUGGCCAUGGACUGAAACUUUUGGAACUGAUUCUGAGGAGUUAAUGUUUCCAUGAAUAUCUCAGAAGGAGAUGUGGACAAACGAACAGUUAUCUCACUCCUGUAGCAAUCUUCUUUCCCUGCCCAGUACUGGAUCUGUGAAAAGCUGAAUCAUGAAUCAGUGAGUGUGCGGAUUGGAACCCAAGUUGCUCUCUGGAUAGAACGAAAGGAGUCGUGCCCCAAGAAGAUGGAGAGGGAAGUUAUGAAAUGCUGUGACCAAAUAACAAAUGCUGAUGUUUGGGGAGAUAACUGUUUCCCAUAGGAAAUAGAGUGAAUGCGAUGUCUUUCUUUUGUGAGGGAUUCAUAGACCGCUUCUCAACGCUUGUUACAUGUUACUCCUUUUUUCGAGAUUUUUAUUUACCUAACUGGGAAAGAAACCAGAACAAGGUUUUCAUUGAAUUCUGAUACAGGUAUUUAAAGACUUACGGACAAGAUAUAGAAGAAGAAGUGGUAAUUAACUGAUUAAAGAAGUACAGUUUAUAUCCAGUAGACAGACAGGCUCCAGACAUCCUUAGUGCUGUCUUAGCAUCAAAGGUUAAUCUACCUAAUACUUGUCAUCCUGAAAUGCAUGGUGGAACAUCCAACAGACAAGAGCUACUUCAGGGAAGGACUAUGAUUUUUGUCGUGGAAGACAUUUAACACAGGGCAGCUCCUGUGCACUUACAUGAUAGAUAUUGCUCUUCCGGGGACUCUGAAUGCUCAUCCCACUUUCAGCUCACUAGGCACAUCGAACUAGAAAUUUUAUCAUCUCGUGAAUUAGUCCAAUACCUGAAGGAGCAAGAGAACCAACACCCAGUUGACAAGAAUAUGACCUGUUGAUUGAAGACCAUUAAGAAAGUAACUUGAUUCAGUUGGACUGGACUUUUUUAUUCUAUUGAAAAAGGAAUUUAUUUCCCCUCAGUGAACGUAACAUGAUCAACAUUUUGAAAGUUGUGAACAUGCAUAGUUCUAUAAUUUACAAAAUAAUUAUAAAAAUCUGAGUAUGGAUGCAGCAUAAUUUCAGAACAGAAUAGCCAUCAUACUUUUUAUAUAUCUUAAAUUCGAGUUUUCAAGAGUAUAUUUCUAUGUUAUAUCCUUUGAUUAGUACAAUAUAAAAUCUACAUCUAAUAUGUACUUCAGGUUUUAUUAGAUCAUGCCAUAUUACUGUACAAUUUGGACUUUUCCAUUUUUAUAUAAAAUGUAACAUGCAUUGUACAUUAAUAUUUAUAUAUCUUGUUUAUUUAUAUAUCUUUAGAAUUAAUUUCUGCCAAUUAUUUUCUUUAUUUGAAUACUUGGGGUAUCAUAAAGGUGCUGUUGAGGUAUUCUCAAUAUGCUUGUACAACUUCCUGCCUGUAGUUAAUAAAUGUGGAUAUUUCAUUAAACAAUUGAAAUAUAA